AUCCUCCUGCUUCAGCCUCCCCAGUCACUAGGACUACAGCAACAAAUUCAUAGUUAUCAAAGAAAGAAGAAAGCUCCCUGGGUUUUGUGUUUGGGAAGAAGGGCAGGACGAUUGGUGGGAAUAAGGAGAUGGAAGAUAUUUAUGAGCUGGUCUUGUAAAAAUUAAAUCUGAGGAUUAAAAAAAUAUACAGAAAAUAAAUAUUUGUGGAUACUA